UGGGGAAUUUUGGACAAUGGGCGAAAGCCUGAUCCAGCAAUGCCGCGUGUGUGAAGAAGGCCUUCGGGUUGUAAAGCACUUUUGUCCGGAAAGAAAUCCUUGGCUCUAAUACAGUCGGGGGAUGACGGUACCGGAAGAAUAAGCACCGGCUAACUACGUGCCAGCAGCCGCGGUAAUACGUAGGGUGCAAGCGUUAAUCGGAAUUACUGGGCGUAAAGCGUGCGCAGGCGGUUUGCUAAGACCGAUGUGAAAUCCCCGGGCUCAACCUGGGAACUGCAUUGGUGACUGGCAGGCUAGAGUAUGGCAGAGGGGGGUAGAAUUCCACGUGUAGCAGUGAAAUGCGUAGAGAUGUGGAGGAAUACCGAUGGCGAAGGCAGCCCCCUGGGCCAAUACUGACGCUCAUGCACGAAAGCGUGGGGAGCAAACAGGAUUAGAUACCCUGGUAGUCCACGCCCUAAACGAUGUCAACUAGUUGUUGGGGAUUCAUUUCCUUAGUAACGUAGCUAACGCGUGAAGUUGACCGCCUGGGGAGUACGGUCGCAAGAUUAAAACUUCAAAUGGAAUUG
rnacentral:rRNA from 1 species